CUUUGUUUGCCAUUGACUCCGUCAAAGAACAUGGUGAACUGCUGAUCUUUCUUCUUCAAAGGGAAGUAGAUACCAGCAGUCAAGUGUCCUUUAGGGUCACGGGCCAAAAGACUCCUAAAAAUAAGAAAAAAAGAAUUAUUUCACAUGAAAAUCUUGUAAAUUAUUUAGUCUUUGAUAACAUAUACUAUUUAGUAUAUUCUAGCUAAAAUAUCUUAGAUUUGUUUAGUGCUUACCUUAAAUCCCAGACCAAAUUUCGCUUCUCGGUAACAGCAACAGCACUUAAAUAUGCUUUUGUAACAUACACGAGAGAAAGACGUUCUUUUACUUUGUCUCCACGAG